GCGCUCUUAGUUCAGUUCGGUAGAACGUGGGUCUCCAAAACCCGAUGCGUCUAAGAGACAGGUCCUAUAGAGCGUG
rnacentral:tRNA from 1 species